GAUGAACGCUGGCGGCGUGCCUAAUACAUGCAAGUCGAGCGAAUGGAUUAAGAGCUUGCUCUUAUGAAGUUAGCGGCGGACGGGUGAGUAACACGUGGGUAACCUGCCCAUAAGACUGGGAUAACUCCGGGAAACCGGGGCUAAUACCGGAUAACAUUUUGAACCGCAUGGUUCGAAAUUGAAAGGCGGCUUCGGCUGUCACUUAUGGAUGGACCCGCGUCGCAUUAGCUAGUUGGUGAGGUAACGGCUCACCAAGGCAACGAUGCGUAGCCGACCUGAGCGGGGGAUCGGCCACACUGGGACUGAGACACGGCCCAGACUCCUACGGGAGGCAGCAGUAGGGAAUCCUCCGCAAUGGACGAAAGUCUGACGGAGCAACGCCGCGUGAGUGAUGAAGGCUUUCGGGUCGUAAAACUCUGUUGUUAGGGAAGAACAAGUGCUAGUUGAAUAAGCUGGCACCUUGACGGUACCUAACCAGAAAGCCACGGCUAACUACGUGCCAGCCGCCGCAGUAA
rnacentral:rRNA from 1 species